AACAUCUCCUUUUGAAUUUUAUUUAAGGUUUAAUCUGCUCAAUGAAUAUUAAAUUGCCGCGGUAUUUUGACCGUGCAAAGGUAGCAUAAUAAUUAGUUUCUUAAUUAGAAGCUUGAAUGAAUGAUUGGACGAGAAAAUUUCUGUCUCUUUUUAAUUUAUUUUUGAAUUUUAUUUUUAAGUAAAAAAGCUUAAAUUAUAAUAAAAGACGAGAAGACCCUAUAGAGUUUAAUAUUUAUAAUUUAUUUAGUAUUAGAAAUUAUUUUAAAUUUUAUUUAUUUAGUUGGGGUGACUGGAGGAUUUAUAAAAUUCCUUUUUUUUAAAAAGUUGAUGAUUAUUAAUUUUUUUAUCUGAAUGUUUCAAAUAAAAAAUGAAUUACCUUAGGGAUAACAGCGUAAUUUUUCUUUAGAGUUCUUAUCGGAAGAAGAUUUUGCGACCUCGAUGUUGGAUUAAAAUAAAUUUUUGGCGAAGAAGCUUAAAAAUUAGGUCUGUUCGACCUUUAAAAUUUUACAUG
rnacentral:rRNA from 1 species